rnacentral:rRNA from 1 species
CCCUUAGACGUUCUGGGCCGCACGCGCGCUACACUGACGAAGGCAACGAGCUACUCUUCACCGAAAGGUGUGGGUAAUCUUUUGAAACUUCGUCGUGCUGGGGAUAGAUCCUUGCAAUUUUUGAUCUUAAACGAGGAAUUCCUAGUAAGCGCAAGUCAUCAACUUGCGUUGAUUACGUCCCUGCCCUUUGUACACACCGCCCGUCGCUACUACCGAUUGAAUGGUCCGGUGAAAUCCUCGGAUCGAGCCGUGGGGCAACUCCGGUUCGAGAAGUUGAUUAAACCUUACCAUUUAGAGGAAGGUGAAGUCGUAACA